rnacentral:rRNA from 1 species
AUUGGUACGGAACAACCCAGAGAAAUUUGGGCUAAUACCGUAUGCGCCCCUUCGGGAAAGAUUUAUCGCCGAUCGAUGAGCCCGCGUUGGAUUAGCUAGAUGGUGAGGUAAGAGCUUACCAUGGCGACGAUCCAUAGCUGGUCUGAGAGGAUGAUCAGCCACACUGGGACUGAGACACGGCCCAGACUCCUACGGGAGGCAGCAGUGGGGAAUAUUGGACAAUGGGGGCAACCCUGAUCCAGCCAUGCCGCGUGAGUGAUGAAGGCCCUAGGGUUGUAAAGCUCUUUCAGUCAUGAGGAUAAUGACGUUAAUGACAGAAGAAGCCCCGGCUAACUUCGUGCCAGCAGCCGCGGUAAUACGAAGGGGGCUAGCGUUGUUCGGAAUCACUGGGCGUAAAGCGCACGUAGGCGGACUUUUAAGUCAGGGGUGAAAUCCCGAGGCUCAACCUCGGAACUGCCUUUGAUACUGGAAGUCUUGAGUUCGAGAGAGGUGAGUGGAACUCCGAGUGUAGAGUUGAAAUUCGUAGAUAUUCGGAAGAACACCAGUGGCGAAG